CCCAGACAGGAUGCCAGUGCAUGGCUGGACACACAGUCACACAGAAUUGGUGAUUUAGAAAUACCAGUUCACCUAUAAUAUUAGCAUAUAUUUUGGAUUUCAUAAGGAAGCUACAGAGCCCAGAGGAAGCCUGCAUGGCCUUGAGGAGAGCAUACACAAUGCAGAUAGAAAGAGCUAGCAGGAGUGAUGCUUCUGUGCUGUUCACUUGGCAACUGCAUACAAUAUCAUAUUUAAAAUAUAGCUACACAUUUACAGCUGAUUUAAAUUACAUAUACUUAUUUACAAGACUUUUUCUAUCUCAAAAUGGCAUGAAUAUAUACAGCAUGAACACUGACCACACAUAUACAGCCAUGGCCAAAUGCCAGAAAUAUAGAUUUUCACAAAGUCUGUUGCCUCAGUUUUUAUGAUGGCAAUUUGCAUAUACUCCAGAAUGUUAUGAAGAGUGAUCAGAUGAAUUGCAAUUAAUUGCAAAGUCCCUCUUUGCCACGAAAAUGAACUUAAUCCCAAAAACCCAUUUCCAUUGCAUUUCAGCCCUGCCACAAAAGGACCUGCCUACAUCAUUUCAGUGAUUCUCUCGUUAACACAGGUGAGAGUGUAUACAAGGACAAGGCUGUAGGUCACUCUGUCAUGCUGAUUGAGUUAGAAUAGCAGACUGGAUGCUUAAAAAGGAGGGUGGUACUUGAAAUCAUUGCUCUUACUCUGUUAACCAUGGUUACCUGCAAGGAAACAUGUGCAGUCAUCAUUGCUUUCCACAAAAAGGGCAAGGAUAUUGCUGCUAGUAAGAUGGCACUUAAAUCAACCAUUUAUCAGGUCAUCAAGAACUUCAACACUUUCUGUUGUUGUGAAGAAGAAAGUCCAGAAAGUGCCAGGACCAUCUCAAGCUGAUACAGCUGUCGGAUCAGGGCACCAGCAGUGCAGAGCUUGCUCAGGAAUGGCAGCAGGCAUUAUGACAUGCUUGUAAUUAUACUUCAGUAUACCAUAGAAACUUCUGACAAAAAGAUCUACAAACAAUGAAGCAGCAGACUUUGUGAAAAACAAUAUUUGUGUAAUUCUCAAAAGUUUUGGCCACUCCACUAAUCAGAUCGCUUGUUUUGUCAUGCAUAUUUAUAUUUAACAAUCCCUAUUCAGUCAUUUUGAGUUGCAUGAUUACAAUUCAUGCUUUUGCAUGAUUUUGUUCUAUUUAUAGAGUAUGUUUCAACUAAAUUUAUAGAGUGCAAGUGAUAAAUAGUUCAGGAAAGAAACCAAUCAAUUUAUUUAUUAAAUGUAAAUCCUUCACUGUGAUGUGAUUUUGAGGUAUUUUGACAGAUAUUUCAGCCUACCUAGAGAUUUAUUUUGUUCAUUCAUCCAGGUUAAAAGUGAGUUUCAUCAGCAUUUCCACAGAAAGUAGAAUCACUGACUUGUUAGGCUCUGUGGGCAGCAGAAAGUCUUAAGCUCCUUCUAUUGGGGCUGCCCUAAAUUGAGUUGGUAUUUCAAAACUAAAGUAGUAAAUUCAAUGGCAGUGCAUUGAGCUACCUUGGUGACUCUGACUGAGCCAACUCUGUGUCCUUGGUCUGAACCAGAGGUAGGUGCCUCAAGGUCAAUUUAGACUGCACUUCCAGUCUAAAUACUGGGCUCAGUCCGAUUGCUCUUUCGAGCAAUGCUCAGUGCUUGGCUAGGUUCUGUCAGUUGUUCUUUUUUCUGGGGCUAUUUUUGUCCAUUGUAGUUUUGUUUGCAGGAUUGUUUACUGUGUACAUUCUCCUCUAGCUUUCAUGUCUGAGUUGUUGUGGUGGGUUUUCUGUUUUUAUAUUUCAGCCCCAUCUCCUGGUCUACGUGUCCUAGUUCCUGUUCCUGGUUCCUCUUGUUCUGAGACUUCUUUGGACACCUCAUCCAGCACCAACAGUUACCUGUUUCCUGUUCAAUGGACUUCGAGCCCCUCGGGCAGAAUGUCUGGCAUAGGCACACAGGCUGAGCCCACUGAGCCACACACUGCCCCAGGUCACAUUAAAGGCCUGAGGCAGAGGAUGACUGCAGUGAGGAGUAGCCCAGGUGGAAAGGCCUCAUCGUCCUGCAUUCAAGGUGACGAAAAAAGAUGGGGGAAGUCAAGCAUGGAGCAAGACAGUUAAUGCAUGAAUAAUCAGUUACAUCAGGUGUUAUUGUCACAGUAGGUACUUUACUCUUACAAUCCUAAAGUUCAUUUGUUUCUGGGGAAAUUCUUGAUUUGAUUCAAGGAAAAUAAGGCAAUGCUUGGUGUCUGAAAGAACACACUAAGUAUAGAAUUCAAAAACUAAUAAAAUCAGACCAACUUCUUUAUGCAUAAUCGUAUUCUACAUCGUAAAUUCUUAAACAGCAUUUGCUCAGUCCAUGAUUUAAUGCCUACCUGAUAACUUUAAAGCUAUAAUUACAUUCUGAAAUUAUGCAAUAUAUCAUUGGGGAGUUAUAAAUUUACCUAACAUAACUUUAUUGAACUUUCCCUUAGUAAUGUAUAAACUAUUUCCCAAGACAAAACUAUGAGUAUCAAUAAUAUAUCUUGCAUUAAUUUAUCUAUGGAAAAAAAUCACCAUAGUCACGUUAACAGUGCUGAAGAGGAGAAUGUAAAACCACCCGAUGUUGUUUAUAAAAGAUAUUGCUUUAUCAGGAAUGUAAAUUGCUCAAUAAAUUAUUAUAGAAAUUAA